rnacentral:rRNA from 1 species
GUCUAUAUGAAGUUAUAAAUAUAUAGUCUGGCCUGCCCACUGAAUUGUAUUUAAAGGGCUGCGGUAAUUUGACCGUGCAAAGGUAGCAUAAUCAAUAGUCUUUUAAUUGGAGGCUUGAAUGAAAGGUUGGACAGAUAGAAAGCUGUCUUGAUAUUUUAUAUUGAAUUUAACAUUUGUGUGAAAAGGCAUAGAUAAUUUGGGGGGACGAUAAGACCCUAUAAAAUUUAACAUAUAUGAAUUAUUUUUUUUAAAAGUUAAUUAAUUUAUAAAGUGAUUUAAGGUGUUUUGCUGGGGCGGCAUUGAUAUAAUUUGUAACUGUCAUUAUAAUUUAAUAUAGAUUUAUAGGUUAUGGUCCUUUAUUAAGGAGCAAAGAUUAAGUUACUUUAGGGAUAACAGCAUAAUUUUUUCUGAGAGUUCUUAUCGAAGAAAUAAGUUGUGACCUCGAUGUUGAAUUAAAAAAUCCUCUGGAAGCAGAAGUUUAGCGGGAAGGACUGUUCGUCCUAUAAAUUUUU